UAUAGAUCGCACGUCGCCAAGUAGAGUCCGUCUGCGGGGACAUGCAGUGCCGACGCUCUUGCUGCCUCAUCCAGUUUACCAAGGUGACAGUGCAUCUGAUGCAACAAGCCAUGUUGCACACUCGCACUCUGCAUCCUCUCAACUCACGCAAGGAUGUGAUGAAGGCUUGAUGGUGCUUGCACAGGUUGCCACAAGUUUUGAUGAACGCUCAGCUCAGGCCAGCCUACCUACCCCUGGUUUGUCUGGCUUAGGUGCUGGUCUCUACAGUCAGACUACGUUUGAACAGG